rnacentral:lncRNA from 1 species
UGGCCGGCGUCGCGUUCUCUCUCGUACCGCCGAAGCUCAGUCUCGGCAGUGUCACUCGCGCCCUUGACCAGCGAGCCCGCUGGAAUUUAGUGACUGGGAUCGACGUCGCCGUUCGCAGUAAAGGGGAGCGCACAGACUCGGGGAAGGUCCCGUUCUCUGGUGAGGAGGUGGCCGCCCGCGCUCUGGAAGCAGGGGAGUUCAGGGUUACCUGGAUCGUUUCCAGAGUCCCAUUUUGGACUUCAGAAGCUGUGUGGGUACCUACAUCCCAUCUGUAGCCUCGAACUGGCUCCUCCUGGGGAGGAGAGUGCCUGGGGUAAGAAGCUCGGAGAUCAUCCUGACGUCACUGCAACCAUGAUUUCACCAGGCUUGUGCACUGUGAGGUUAUCGCGAUCUGAAAUCUCUGCUGCUGGAAAGAGGAAUUUAUUCACAAGACUCUAA